GGUUGUGGCUCAGUGGUAGAGUGCUUGCCUAGCAUGCGUGAGGCAUUGAGUUUGAUCCCCAGCACCA
rnacentral:tRNA from 1 species